UACGGAGGGUGCAAGCGUUGCUCGGAAUUAUUGGGCGUAAAGCGCACGUAGGCGGCCGACUAAGUCGGGUGUGAAAGCCCAGGGCUCAACCCUGGAAGUGCACUCGAAACUGACCGGCUUGAAUAUGGAAGAGGGUCGCGGAAUUCCCGGUGUAGAGGUGAAAUUCGUAGAUAUCGGGAGGAACACCAGUGGCGAAGGCGGCGACCUGGGCCAAUAUUGACGCUGAGGUGCGAAAGCGUGGGGAGCAAACAGG
rnacentral:rRNA from 1 species